rnacentral:rRNA from 1 species
AGAGUUUGAUCAUGGCUCAGGAUGAACGCUGGCGGCGUGGAUUAGGCAUGCAAGUCAAGGGGGCCGCAAGCAACCGGCAGCGAGGUAGUAAUAUAUAGGAACGCACCGAAGAGUCUGGCAUAGCUCGUCGAAAGACGGGGUAAUUCCGGAUAGUCUCGCAAGAGUAAAGAUUUAUCGCUCUUCGAGCGGCCUGUACAGUAUCAGCUAGUUGGUAGGGUAAUGGCCUACCAAGGCUAUGACGCUUAGGAGAGCUGAGAGGCUGACCUCCACCGAUGGAACUGAGACACGGUCCAUACACCUACGGGUGGCUGCAGUCGAGAAUAUUCCGCAAUGGACGAAAGUCUGACGGAGCGACGCCGCGUGAUGGAUGAAGUCCUUCGGGACGUAAACAUCUUUUAUGAGGGAGGAAUUUUAUUGACGUUACCUCAUGAAUAAGGGGCUUCAAAUCUCGUGCCAGCAGAAGCGGUAAUACGAGAGCCCCAAGCGUUAUCCGGAAUUAUUGGGCGUAAAGGGUAUGUAGGCGGCAUUGUUAGUCUUUCGUUAAAUUCUUCGGCUUAACCGGGGACCUGCGAGAGAUACGGCAACGCUAGAGGAUGCGAGAGGUACAUGGAACUCAUAGUGUAGGGGUGAAAUCCGUUGAUAUUAUGGGGAACACCGAAUGCGAAGGCNUGUACUGGCGCACUCCUGACGCUGAAAUACGAAAGCGUGGGUAGCGAAUGGGAUUAGAUACCCUAGUAGUCC